UGUAAACAAUGGUUCAACUGUCAGAAUAAAUAUACAGGUCUUGUGACCUUUCUAAUCAUUAAUAUAGUAAAUUGCAGUUGUUUCCCUUUAAACAACUUGAUUGUAUUUGUUCGGCCUAAUUGUUCCUUACAAUGACAAGCUGCUGAAUUUUUUUUAUUACAUAGAAAAUAUGAAAUUAAAAAACAGUGAACUCAAGAACCUUUGAUGCAUAAAAGUGUAGUUGUUUCCCAUUAAUCAAUGUCUGUACAUUAAUAAGUUGCUGAUCUUUCGAUGAUUAAGUAGAAAUUCUAAUAUGACGUGCUUCUUUCGCUUUAUAAACAACACUGUGAUAAAAUUCUCGAUAUAUCUAUACUUAGCACAGACUCAGAGAUAUACAUAAUAAUGGCUGUUACAAUA
rnacentral:lncRNA from 1 species